CAGGUAAUGGAACAUCACGAGUCCCAUGUUGGUGCAUUGCUUGUGUGCAGGGGGUCUGUUAUCUCAUCCCAAUGAGCCUCAUGGCUGAUGAUAGAGUGAGGUGCAUCAGCCGGGACCUGAAGAACACUCCUGAACCCCAGUGGCCAUUUGCUUCAACCUCACUCAGUAUAAUACAGUCUGCACCACUUGAGCAUACUGACCACAGGUAUUCUGUUCCUGUUUGCUGCUUCUCUCAUGUAUCUCCCUUACUGAUUCGUCAGUGAAAAUGGAUCCCAGGGCAUCACUCUCAGAGCACAUCACGGCUGACUACCCCAGGGUCUUACUGUCAUUUCUGUUUCAGCAGAAGAUCUGGGUUUGUGUUAAUAAAAAAGAAAGGGUUGUCCUCUUCUGGAUGACUAUGGUCGGGAUCUCUCCAUAUAACUCAUCCCAAUUGUCAGGAGAUGCUAUUUGUUUCCUAAUCUGUAUGAUACCCUGUAUGAUAUUGGCCCUGCCUGGAAGGGAGGUUGGAGAUUCAUGAUCCUUGAGGUCCCUUCCGACCCAGACCAUUCUUCCUCCCCAUGCCUCUUCCUCCCAUCCCCUGACCCCCAUUAAGUAGCUUAUAAACAGCAUUAAUUAUAUCCCUAAUG
rnacentral:lncRNA from 1 species